rnacentral:rRNA from 1 species
AUAAACUUUUGUACNGUGAAACUGCGAAUGGCUCAUUAAAUCAGUUAUCGUUUAUUUGAUUGUGCCCUUAYUACUUGGAUAACCGURGUAAUUCUAGAGCUAAUACAUGCAAAAAAUCCCDACUYCGGAAGGGAUGUAUUUAUUAUAUUAAAARCCAAUGCGUUUMACGACNCUYUUCUGYGAUUCAUAAUAAUCUGUUCDAWUCGCAUGGCCCUCGUGCCGGCGAUGUUUCUUUCDAGUUUCUGCCCYAYCAACUUWCGAUGGUAAGGUAUUGGCUUACCAUGGUURCMACGGGYAACGGACAAUAUANAGGUUCGAUUCCGGAGAGGGAGCCCGACAAACGAGCUACCACACUCCAARGAAGGCAGCGAGGCGCGCAAAUUACCCAACUCCCGAUUCGGGGAGGUAGUGACAAUAAAUAACGUUGCAGGCGCCAACGGCUUCUGCAGUCGGAAUGAGAUACAAUAUAACAYCCUUAACGAGGACACAW